UACGUAGGUGGCAAGCGUUGUCCGGAUUUACUGGGCGUAAAGCGUAUGCAGGCGGGUUUUUAAGUAGAAAGUGAAAGGUUGGGGCUCAACUCCAACAUGGCUCUCUAUACUGGAAGCCUUGAGUGCCGGAGAGGACGAGGGAACUGCACGUGUAGCGGUGAUAUGCGUUGAGAUGUGCAGGAACACCAAUGGCGAAAGCACUCGUCUGGACGGAAACUGACGCUGAGAUACGAAAGCUAAGGGAGCGAACAGG
rnacentral:rRNA from 1 species